UACGUAGGGAGCAAGCGUUGUCCGGAUUUAUUGGGCGUAAAGAGCUCGUAGGCGGCUUGUCGCGUCGAAUGUGAAAACUCGGGGCUCAACCCCGCGCUUGCAUUCGAUACGGGCAGGCUCGAGUUCGGUAGGGGAGACUGGAAUUCCUGGUGUAGCGGUGAAAUGCGCAGAUAUCAGGAGGAACACCGGUGGCGAAGGCGGGUCUCUGGGCCGAUACUGACGCUGAGGAGCGAAAGCGUGGGGAGCGAACAGG
rnacentral:rRNA from 1 species